ACAAUUGCGGAGGAAAAGUUGCAUCAAAUUCCAGAAAGAGAGAGAAGACUCCACAAUUCAACUCAAGAACACAGAAAAAACGAUUUGAUUUUAUUUUCUCGAAGAGGUCAGGUUUGGUUGUUAAAUAGAGUAGUACAUAAAGAACAGAACAUUCGCCAACGUUAACAUUAAAAUAAGCAUCCUCAAAAUAUGCUCACGCCUGUGCUUCCCGCCGCUUCAUCUGCUUCGUUUUUCACUCUCUUUCUCGCUUAGCCUUCACUUUCUUCUUCCUUCUGCCAGCAAUGCCGACUUUUACUGCCAUGGCACUGGAUAGGUUGAUAGAGCCGGGAGCUUCUAAGCCAGCUGAUAAAUCUGCUCCAACUUCAAUGCCUGUGCCAAACUCGCAGAAGCUGGAGAGGGGUACUAGUGCGCCCACCAAGAAAAGUAAGGUUCAUCAGCCUCCAUUGAAGGCGGCACUUUGUAUCACUCCUGAAGUGACACCACUUCCAGAUGCGCCUUCUUCGUUCCCUCCUUCACCAUACAUCAUCAACCACAAAUGCCGUGGUCCACACCUCCUCAAGAGUUCCUCUGAGGCAAAUGCACUGUCUGAGGUGAAUAUUUGUUGUGAUGAAAAUGAUAAUGACAAGAGCUUAGAUGCUGUUGAUACAAGUACAGCUGGUGACCUCCAAGUUACUUCUACAAAGCCUGAACUUGUUAAAGAGGAGAAGGUAAAUGGUGUUUAUGAAGGCCAAUUUGAUUGGAGCAAUGAUGUUGACCUGCAAAUGGACACAGAGAAACUGGAAGUGGUAGCUUAACCAAUGUUUUACUCGAGGAAAAGCCAAUGGCAUUGAAUUUGGAUAGAGUUAGAGAGGUUGAAGAGAAUGCAGCGACAGAAUUGUCUAUGAAAUUCAGCAGUCCUGGUACAGAGUUUUAUGAUGCCUGGGAAGAAUUAUCUUCUGAAGGCAUGUCUCAAAAUUCUACAUACAAUAUUGAAGCUGAAUUAUGUGAAAUAAGGUUAAGUCUGUUGGUGGAGGUAGAGAAGCGGAAGCAAGCUGAAGAAUCCAUCAACAACAUGAGAAGCCAAUGGGAAAGUAUUAGGCCAGGGUUAUAUCAAGCAGGAAUUGUUUUUCCUGCAUAUCUUACUGCCGCUGUUGAGGAUGAGCAGCUGAUUUCUGAUCCCGUGGAAGAUCUAUGUCAACAAGUUUAUAUUGCUAGGUUCAUAUCAAAUACCAUUGGAAAAGGAAUUGCCAGGGCAGAGUUGGAUACAGAGAUGGAAGCUCAACUAGAGGCAAAGAACUUUGAGAUUGCUCGACUUUUGGAACGUCUCCACUGUUAUGACACCAUGAAUAAGGAGAUGUCUCAGAGGAACCAGGAAGCAGUAGAGAUGGCACCGCGUGAGAGGCAAAGGAGCAGCAGGAGGCAGAGAUGGAUUUGGGGCUCCAUCACAACUGUAAUUGCUCUUAGUACUGCAGCACUAGCAUGGUCUUAUCUCCCAACGGGUAAAGGAUCAUCCUCUGCUGACAAUGAUCUAGUUCCUGAACAUGAUGACCCAGCCAAGUAGUUUACCACAUAACCACUAACUGCAACAACGUAUUAUGAUAGGAGAGCACAAUAAAAGUUUUACAUGCCACCAUGUGGUCAACUUACCUCUUUCAUCACUUGCAAUUUUCUGGCAUUCUGAGCAUGGUGCACAAUUUAGAUAUUAAUGAACUUGUGCCUUCCUCACGAAACCUUGGGUAUGUAGAUCAGUGAAGUGUUUUGGUCCGUAUUGUUGAGAAAAUAUUCCACAUAACUAAAUCACUUGGAAAUUUUUUACGAUUCGUUUGACCAUCUGAUCCAUAAAAACUUCGUACCCCAUUGCCCAGAGGCUCUUCACUAUGCGAAGGUAUGGGGGAGGGAUGUUGUACGCAGCCUUACCCUUACAUAUGCAAAGAGGCUGUUUCCGGUGACCAUCUGAUCCAUCUCAUGAUAAAUUUUCUAAGCCUGCUCCUACGAGCAUUCUCAUGCACCAAGAGAGAAUUGGAUUGACAUCAUCUGGUAAGGGAAAUCUGUUGAGCAAUGAAGAAUGUACUAGUAGAAUUCUGGUUUGUUUUUUGUUUCUAUUUUGGUUGCUCGUUGGUGAAUUAGCGUAUUGGUAAUAUAUAGAUUAUAGUAAUUCGUUGACACCACCGGUAGACGUUGGUCACAGAUGCAUUAUUGUUGACAGUAAUAAGUAAUAACCAUAUCAGCCUAUUGGUUGUUUUUUAUGUUAGUCAAAUGCAUUUGGAUUUUCCAGAAACAUGCACCGGAAAAA